AGGUCAGAAAACAAGGCUGAGAAAAGUCAAGUAAUUCACCCAAGGCCACACUGAUGUUAUGUGGAUUUGAAGGAUUUGGACCCAGAAUUCAUAGGAGUCAGCUACAGUGAGAUACUUCUUACAGAAUGGAGAAGAAAUGAAUGACAGAUAGUUGGAGAAAAGAAUGGCUGAGAAGGAGAAGGUGAGAGAAUGUGUGGGAAUGAGAAAUAAACAAAGCUCUGAUCAAUAAGAAGCUCACCUCCACGAGAGUUUGUAGGUUCCACACCCAACAUGAAGCCCAAUAUGGCGUUCGAACUCAUAACCCUGAGAUCAAGACCUGAGCUGACAUCAAGGGUCAGACAUCCAACCAACUGAGCCACAGGUGCCCCAGCAAUUGAGUUUUUAAUUAAAGAAAAUUUCUCAUAAACUGAGAACCAGUCUGAUGGUUUCACAGAUGAAUUCUACAAAAUACUUAUGAUCUAACAUCAUUCUUAUGCAAACUACUUCAGAAAAUAGAGAAAAAGAGGAAUCUUCUCAAUUGAUCUUGUGAGGCCAGUACUAUGGAUUGAAUAAUUGUGUCCCCCCCAAAUUCCUAUGUUGAAAUCCUAACCUGCAAGAUAAUGGUUUUAGGAGGUGGAGCCUCUGAGAGGCAACUGGUUCAUGAGGAAACAGCCAUCAUAAAUGGGAUUUAAUGCCUUUAUAAAAAGACCUACGGGAGAUCCCAUGUCCCUUUUAUGACAAAAAGAAGACUGAACCAGGAAAUGGGCCCUCACCAGAUAUCAAAUCUUCCAGUGCCUUGAUCUUGGACUUCCCAGACUCCAGAACUGUGGGAAAUAAAUGUCUGUUGUUUAUAAGCCACUCAAUCUGUGGUAUUUUGUUAUAGCAACCUAAAUGGACUGAGUAAGCCAGUUUAAAUCUGGCGACAAAACCAGAAAAGGGCAUUACAAUGAAGAGAAUUAUAGACACCUAAACUUCAUGAAACUCUUAAGAGUACAAUUAAUAAUAUUAACAAAUAAAAUUAAACGAUACUUUAAAUAUAUAUAUAUAUAUAUAUAUUGCACCAUGACCAAGUGAAGUUUAUACUAGAAAUGAGAGAUUAUUUUAACAUUUGAAAACUGAUCAAGAUAAUUUACCACAUUAACAGAAUAAAGGAGAAAGCUUACAUAACCUU